rnacentral:rRNA from 1 species
CAUACGGGUGGCAGCAGUGGGGAAUAUUGGACAAUGGGCGAAAGCCUGAUCCAGCCAUGCCGCGUGUGUGAAGAAGGCCUUCGGGUUGUAAAGCACUUUCAGUGGGGAAGAAAGCCUUGGGGCUAAUACCCUCGAGGAAGGACAUCACCCACAGAAGAAGCACCGGCUAACUCCGUGCCAGCAGCCGCGGUAAUACGGAGGGUGCGAGCGUUAAUCGGAAUUACUGGGCGUAAAGCGCGCGUAGGCGGUCUGAUAAGCCGGUUGUGAAAGCCCCGGGCUCAACCUGGGAACGGCAUCCGGAACUGUCAGGCUAGAGUGCAGGAGAGGAAGGUAGAAUUCCCGGUGUAGCGGUGAAAUGCGUAGAGAUCGGGAGGAAUACCAGUGGCGAAGGCGGCCUUCUGGACUGACACUGACGCUGAGGUGCGAAAGCGUGGGUAGCAAACAGGAUUAGAUACCCGGGUAGUC